rnacentral:rRNA from 1 species
UACGAAGGGGGCUAGCGUUGCUCGGAAUCACUGGGCGUAAAGCGCACGUAGGCGGACUCUUAAGUCGGUGAUGAAAUCCAUGGAGCUCAACUCCAGAACUGCCUUCGAUACUGAGAGUCUUGAGUCCGGGAGAGGUGAGUGGAACUGCGAGUGUAGAGGUGAAAUUCGUAGAUAUUCGCAAGAACACCAGUGGCGAAGGCGGCUCACUGGCCCGGUACUGACGCUGAGGUGCGAAAGCGUGGGGGAGCAAACAGG